AGAGUGAUAAGUGAAGUUGGUUGGACUGCUUAGAGGACUCCUUGGUCAUUGGUUGGGGGCAGACCAAGGGCAAAUGGUCAUUGGUUCCAAAAUGUCAAGAUAACAUGGUUUGUACAAUGUGACUUGCUUGUAAUGGAAGAAACCAAGAAAAAUCAACAACAAAAAUGAAGACUGGGUGUGCAUUGAAGCAAAAGGGUCAGGCCAAGUUUGGAUAGUCAAGAGCCAG
rnacentral:lncRNA from 1 species